rnacentral:misc_RNA from 1 species
AUCGGGAAAGGUCAAAAAUAGAACACACAGACUAUAGUUGUACAUGUACUAAACAUAAAUUAUAAUGAUUUUUGAAUGAAUUUUUAUAAAUUCAUAAAUAUACAGAGUUAAUCAAAUCAUGAAUUUGUGCAUGAACUUAGCAAAACUUGUUUACCGGUACUAGACAACUAGUUGAUAGCAUUUUCAUAACCCCAAAAUCGUGUGUUACAAGAAGCUUAUAAUUACAGAAUCUUGACAAGGAACAGGGUACAUGAAAUUUUUCUACCAGUUUAAUCUUGAUGUGUUUGAAUAUGAGUUAAAGAUAGUAUUAUUUAGUAAAAUCUAUUUAAAAAGGGAUUGUAUAUGCACUUUUUUCACAAAUAAUUUAGUAUUUUAUUUCUUUUGUCUCAUUAUGAUUAUACAUAACAUUAAAAAUUUUUUAGUUUAGAGUAAUAUUCCAGAUUCUAUCAAGGAAUGUCUUUUCUUUUGCAGGAAUUGGACAUGCCUCCAAGACCUCGGUCAUCUUCUCACUCCUCCCACUCAUCUGGAUCUUCCCACAGCAGUAGAUCUAGGUCAGCCUCUCCAUCGCCGGACAGGGAAGAUGGCAAAGAUGACAAGGAGGAAGACAAAGAAGAGGAAGAGAAGAAGGAAACUGAUGAAGGAGACAGCAAAAGCAGAAGAAGAUCCAGAGAGAGCCCGUCCAAAAAAAAUCGUUCACGAUCCAGGUCAAGGUCACACCGUAGACGAAGAUCAGACUCCAAGAGGAAAUCUCGAUCCAGUCGAUCCAGAUCCAAAAGGAGGGUACAUGAACUCUAUAUGAAUUUUUGUCAAGGGAAGAAAUUCCUUUAAUAUAGUUCUGUUUUAAAGAGUUUUCUAUUCAAUACAAUCUAAGUCAUGCUCUGUGGAUUGAAACCUUUCCUUGAUAUUCAUUAGUUGUGAUUUGUUUAUUUAAUAGAGUCGAGAUAGAAAAGACAGUUCAUCUCACAGAAGACGUAGAAGAAGCAGAUCUCGAGAUAGGAAGCACAGAAGGCACUCCUCUAGAGACCGACAUAGACAUAAGAAAGACAGGCGAAGGAGUCGAGAUAGACAUCGCAAAAGAAGCCACAGGAGUAGGUCAAGGCACCGCAGCAGAUCGCCACUCAAACAUAGAUCUGUAAAAAGUAGAAGUCGCAGUAGAGAGCGUGGUCAUCACCCAGCAAUGUCAUCUUCCAAGGCAGAUGGAGAGAAGCACCUGACCUUUAAGGAGAAGAUGAGACAGCAGCUAUUAAAAGCCAGCAAAUAUCUGCAGGGAGGCGAGGGGCUAGAAGUGGAUGGUGAGUGGGCAUUCCCAUUUUAAUCACAAAAUUUUUUUGAUGCAAUGCUAUCUUGUCAGUGCAAUGUAUUUCAGAUGACAGAUUUAUGAUAAACAUUUUACAUGCUCGAUACUAUAUUGGAUCUUGCUCAUUUUAGUUUAAAAAUUUAUAUUGAUGUUUUAUUUGACUUUUCAGGAACUCCCAAGGAGAAACCUAGCACCCUGCCAUUAAGUGAUGGACAUAAAAAGUUUUUUCAAGCGCUAGCUUCAUCGACUCAGUCCAGUGUAACCCCACAGAUGGCUCUUUUACAUACUAUGGCAGCAAUGCACCAAAAGGUUACUGCUAGUUUAUAGAAAUGAAAUGAGCAGGAACAAUCAAGUACAAUAUUAUUGAAACUUUUCAGCGAGAGCAAAAUAUUUUUACCCAUUUGUAAAAUUCUUAAUAUUUUGCAGGCUCAAGAGAUGACUGGAGUAGCUGUUCCCAAAUACUAUAAUCCAGCAGCUGUGAACCCUUUGAAGUAUGCAGAGCAAGUUCAGAAAAGAAAGUUGCUCUGGUCUAAAGCGAAAGAGCACAAAGAGGUAUCUGUAAGUUUCAACCCAAUUUUUUCCAUAACCCAUAUAUUUUGUUUAGUAGAGGGUGUUUAUGAUAUAAAUAGGUUAUGGAUUAAGAUUUUGCUCAUUUUUUAGGACAAAGAAAAGGAAUGGCAACAAACAGCAUUUAAUCAAGAUGAAAAUGGGAAAAUGGCUUCUAAAUUCAAGAAGUUGAUGGGAAUAAAGCAUGAAGGGGCAGAUGGAGAAGGUUCAUCAGAGCAUACAGAGGAACAAAAAAAGAAGCGGGAGGAAUUCUUCUCCAGGCUUGACAAAGACUAUGAGUUUGCUCGCAUGACAACCCACACCCAGAGAGGGGUGGGGCUAGGCUUCUCCUCUCAGGGAAUUCAGCCCCCCUAGUGCAUGGAAUGUGUUUGUUUUGAGGAACUGUGAUUAUUUAUUAAGACUUGAAAAGUGGAAACUCAAUCUUUGAGGUUAAACAAUGAUUGUGUGUCUUUGUGAGACACAUGUAACAUUAUGGUGAAUAAUGUUACUUCAUUUCAUCUUGUGAAUGGUCACCUGUAAACUUAAUUUGUAGUGCAACCAAAAUCUGAAGUAUCCUAACAUUAACAAUUCAAUUUGAAGCUUUAACAAUUGACCAUUGAUUUUUUAUGUACAAGUGUUUGUACAGAGACUAAUAUUGUUUUGUACAAUAAAUAAAGUCA